UCAUGAACUGACAUCGCCUACAAAAAGUUACUCCCAAUUCACGAUUUAUGACAUUUGUCGAAUACAGACAAGGUGUUCGAUAGCAGAACGAGCAAGAAACUGCACCCUAUUAACCCUUCAGGCUGGUCUGUGCAUUGGUGAUUACAGUGAUCACAGGACUGCACUAAAGUUAUUCUUACUGAAGUAGCUACAAUCAAAGCGGGCGGUUGUGGUUUAACACGUACGGAGUCAUUGGCCUUUUCCCAUUUGAUCUCCCGUAAAUCAGCUGGAAAGCAGCCCAUCGGAAAUGAACACGGAUCAAAGCCCCAAUAGAUGCGGAAAAAAUGCUAAACGUCCAGGUUCUGGAGUUCCGGUGCUUUCUGGGAGACUCGCUGCCUGUUCUGUCAGCUGCAGCUCCGAGGACCACAGAGCCAUGCAGGGGUGAUACGGAACGCGGAGAGAACCAUCAGGACAGACCCGCUCACCCUAUAGGACAUCGACAUCCAGCAUAUGUACCACAAUACAAGGCCAGGCGUCAGUGAUAAACAGCUAGAAAAUGACAUACCCCCUUAUCUCUGGUCUCUUGGAUGAUGCUCAUACACUAAUCCAGGAAUUUCUACAUCCUCCCAAUAAAAUGUGCAUUACAGCAAACUCCCAA